rnacentral:tRNA from 1 species
GGAGAGUUAGCUCAGUCUGGUAGAGCAAAAGAAUGUUAAAGAAUACUGACAAGCAUUCAUGCUGCAAACCUUAAUAACUAGGUAAAUCUUUUUGUCACGUGGUUCAAAUCCCGUACUCUCCU